rnacentral:rRNA from 1 species
GAUUAAGCCAUGCAUGUGUAAGUAUAAAUAGUUAACUUUGAAACUGCGAAUGGCUCAUUAUAUCAGUUAUAGUUUAUUUGAUGAAGAAUACUAAUUGGAUAACCGUAGUAAUUCUAGAGCUAAUACAUGUAUAAAGUCUUGUAGACUGCAUUUAUUAGAAUGAAAACCAUAGGUUUCGGCCUAUUCGUGAGUAAUAAUAACUAAUCAUAUCGUAUGCUUACGUAA